CCACGAUCUAGUGGACGGAAUGUACACCAAAAUCCACUUAGUCUAUAUAUUAUAUCUAUGAUAUAGUGGCUGAAUGUACAACAAAACACACUUAGUCAAGAUAGCGUGAGAGCUAGCAGACGGAAUAUACAACAGAAUCUCGCUUAUUCUCGCCGGUAUCCCCUGAUCUAGUGACCGAAUUUACAACAGGAUUACACUUAGUCAAGCCAGGAUACCGGUGUCCAGCUGAACAUAUAUACACA